rnacentral:lncRNA from 1 species
CUCAAGUCCUACAGCCUCAGAGCAUCUGCACCUGCUGUGCCCUCUUCCUAGGAUGGCCAUCCCCCCCUCUCAUGACAGAUCCAGCUUCCUUCCCUCCUUCAGGUCCCAGAGUAAAUGCCAUCUGCAGGAAGUGGGUCCUACAUGGCAGGCCCUUGGCCCCCAGCCCUGGUGCGCAAUGCCUGGCACCCAGUACCCGCCUUGUAGACAUGUGACAGAUGGGCGAAUGAACCAACAAAAUGCCCUUUUCUACAGCAUCCUGCUGCCUUUGCAUCCCUCUUUGAGUCAUAGUUGUGCCCCCAGUUUCUUAACUUUCAUUUUUUUUUUUUUUUUGGUCAGUUUCUUACUUUCUCUUCUUUUAUUUAUUUAUUUUUUUUUAAUUUUUUUUUUUGGUCUUUUUCUCUUUCUAGGCCCGCUCCCACAGCAUAUGGAGGUUCCCAGGCUAGGGGUCCAAUCAGAGCUGAAGCUGCUGGCCUGUGCCACAGUAAUGUGAGAUCCAAGCUUCGUCUGUGACCUACACCACAGCUCACGGCAACGCCAGAUCCUUAACCCACUGAGUGAGGCCAGGGAUCAAACCCACGUCCUCAUGGAUGCUAGUCGGGUUUGUUAACCACUGAGCCAUGAUGGGAAAUCCCAGUUUCUUACUUUCAAAAUUCACUGGGGUCUGGAGUCUCAGGGUCUUGGUACAACUGCCCCUUUAUCCUUCUUCUGUUCCCGGGGAAAUGGGCCCUGCAUCCCCAUUUCCAGUGAGACGAGGAAAGACAAGACUAAUCUGGACAGGCCUGGUCUCAGCCCCAUCAUGUGAAGGAGCAAACAGAAGCUCAAUAAGGGAGAAAGGCACUCUGCCUUGGCCCUUCAGUGAACACCCCCACCUGCUCCCCCACCCCACUCACCUCCUCCCCCAACCAGCUCACCUGCUUGUGUGGGUACACGUUGAUGUGGCACUUGAUGCACUCCUGUCCCAUGUUGGCCCAAGAGUUCCCGCUCAUCCAUUUUCUCUUGCACUUGGGACACUUGUACUCUCCGAAACAGCGCUUUUUGCCCUGAUACGGGGUCAGAGAAGUGCUCUGUGAGGGAGCUGAGGCCGUCGGCGAUGUUGUUGAGGGAGCCAUAGGGAGAGGCACUCUUGUACACGCUGCUGCUCAGCGCCUGCAGGGGACAGAGGUUGUGAGGGCUCCAGAGGCCUGGCUACACUUGUUUGCAAACGUGGCCUCAUGGGAACUUCCACAGGCCCGUACAUGCACGCGCGCGCGCGCGCGCACACACACACACACACACACGCACAAAUUCAUAAUGACCUUUUAGUCACCUGCAGGCUCUGGCUUCCUGGGGUCUGCAUUCAAAUCCUAACUCUUGUUGUGCAUCCAUGGACAAGCCAGUUAAC